GGAGAAUAUAAAUCAAGUGAAAAAAAUAAUAUUUUAUUACAAAAAUAUUGAUAUUCAUAAAACUGCCUAAACCCAUUUGUGAAAACUGGGUUUUAAAACUGGUUUUCAUAACGAUACCCUGUCUUAAGUUUUGGGCUCUGGGGUAUGUAAACAGUAGACAGUAAAUUUUGAGCAUCAUGCGAUACUGUUCUGUGGUUAACUGUACCACAAAUGGUUCUCAUGUUGAUAUGAGAAUCCACACUGUUCGGGAAGAAUGGAAAUCUUUGAGCUGUUGGAAAAAUAUUCCAACUUUUAUCUGCUCUCGUCAUUUUACUCAAAACUCUUACAGCAAUUAUCUAAGAAGAAAUUUAAAAAAUCCGCUAAACCCACAGUGUUUUUGCCAACACAGAUCCUGGCAGAAAAUAACUUCGCAUUCCCUGAUAAUAAAGUGUUAAAGAGAAGGCUUGAUGAUGCAACUGAGCAAGGCGUGAAGUAUAAAAAACGGUUUUAUAAAGCAGAUGAAAGAUGUAAAACCCUGACUUGCAGAGUACGAUUGCAGAACUUAAAGAAAAGUUCCAGGAAUCUGCUGAACACAUAUCUGGUCUGCAAAAAUCUGCCUUAGAUAUAGCAUCAAGCUUCUUUCAACGAACUGCUGUCAAAGUCAAGAACUCAAAGAUGAGAGCAGAAUCCAAGAUCCAAGCUGCACAGAUGAAGGACAAAUUAUUUUGCGACAGACAGAUAUUAAACCGAAUCUGUCUCAAAACUGUGUCUACCUGUAUGACAGAACACCCUGACAUCUUUAAGAAGGCUGAUCAUGGAGAACUUCAUAAAUAUUCCUUGCUUAGAGAAACUGCACUACUGUACACAGUCCUACGGCUGAAACAUCUUGCCAAGGAGAAGAACAUUGAUUCAAAAAAGUCAAAAAUUAGAAAAAAGUUCAACAAACUUGUUCUUUUUGCCAACCAAUAAGUUUAUUCAUGGUUAACAUUGUUUUGUUCAAUAGAUUUUUAAUACAUUUCUUUAUGAAACCA